GACGAACGCUGGCGGCGUGCUUAACACAUGCAAGUCGAACGGAAAGGCCCUGCUUUUGUGGGGUGCUCGAGUGGCGAACGGGUGAGUAACACGUGAGUAACCUGCCCUUGACUUUGGGAUAACUUCAGGAAACUGGGGCUAAUACCGGAUAGGAGCUCCUGCUGCAUGGUGGGGGUUGGAAAGUUUCGGCGGUUGGGGAUGGACUCGCGGCUUAUCAGCUUGUUGGUGGGGUAGUGGCUUACCAAGGCUUUGACGGGUAGCCGGCCUGAGAGGGUGACCGGCCACAUUGGGACUGAGAUACGGCCCAGACUCCUACGGGAGGCAGCAGUGAGGAAUAUUGCACAAUGGGCGGAAGCCUGAUGCAGCCACGCCGCGUGCGGGAUGACGGCCUUCGGGUUGUAAACCGCUUUCGCCUGUGACGAAGCGUGAGUGACGGUAAUGGGUAAAGAAGCACCGGCUAACUACGUG
rnacentral:rRNA from 1 species